rnacentral:rRNA from 1 species
ACGGGUGAGUAACACGUGAGCAACCUGCCCCAGACUCUGGAAUAACCAUGGGAAACGAUGGCUAAUACCGGAUACGAGACACACACGCAUGUGUGGUGUCUGGAAAGAUUUAUCGGUCUGGGAUGGGCUCGCGGCCUAUCAGCUUGUUGGUGGGGUAGUGGCCCACCAAGGCGACGACGGGUAGCCGGCCUGAGAGGGCGACCGGCCACACUGGGACUGAGAUACGGCCCAGACUCCUACGGGAGGCAGCAGUGGGGAAUAUUGCACAAUGGGCGCAAGCCUGAUGCAGCGACGCCGCGUGAGGGAUGACGGCCUUCGGGUUGUAAACCUCUUUCAGCAGGGAAGAAGCGCAAGUGACGGUACCUGCAGAAGAAGCGCCGGCUAACUACGUGCCAGCAGCCGCGGUAAUACGUAGGGCGCAAGCGUUGUCCGGAAUUAUUGGGCGUAAAGAGCUCGUAGGCGGUUUGUCGCGUCUGCUGUGAAAACCUAAGGCUCAACCUUGGGCUUGCAGUGGGUACGGGCAGACUAGAGUGCGGUAGGGGUGACUGGAAUUCCUGGUGUAGCGGUGGAAUGCGCAGA